UCAGGUGCCUAUAUCGGCGGUGUCUACCUCUUCCCAUUCCGAACAGAGAAGUCAAGCCCGCCAGAGCCGAUGGUAUUGCCGUAACAGGUGGGAGAGUAGGUCGGUGCCUUUU
rfam:Sphingobacterium paucimobilis HER1398 contig5, whole genome shotgun sequence.